GCCGGCCUAGCUCAAUUGGUAGAGCAACUGACUUGUAAUCAGUAGGUUGGAGGUUCAAGUCCUCUGGCCGGCACCA
rnacentral:tRNA from 2 species